rnacentral:sRNA from 1 species
UGAGAAACUUUGAGAAACCCC